AAUAUUUUUAAUUUCAUGCAAACUUCUUAAUGAAAUAUCACAACUAUAAUUAUUCAACCCCACACAACUCGAAUAGGGUGAUAAUAUUGUUUUUCACUUAGGCUUGUAAUGAGAUAAAUAAACAAAGAAUGGGAUGAAUAGGCUCAAAUAAGUUUUCAAAUAAGGGAUGAUAUUUUUUAGGAUUGACUUUUUGGAUAACUGGCUACACAAAAUAAAACACAAACAACUUUCCUUUAUCAUAUCAGU
rnacentral:lncRNA from 1 species